CCAGGUCCUAGUGCACCUCCACCUAGUGCUCCAACUCCAGGUAUUCCACCAACACCUACACCGAGUG
rnacentral:antisense_RNA from 1 species